rnacentral:rRNA from 1 species
GUGGGGAAUAUUGGACAAUGGGCGAAAGCCUGAUCCAGCCAUGCCGCGCGUGUGAAGAAGGUCUUCGGAUUGUAAAGCACUUUAAGUUGGGAGGAAGGGCAGUAAGUUAAUACCUUGCUGUUUUGACGUUACCGACAGAAUAAGCACCGGCUAACUUCGUGCCAGCAGCCGCGGUAAUACGAAGGGUGCAAGCGUUAAUCGGAAUUACUGGGCGUAAAGCGCGCGUAGGUGGUUUUGUAAGUUGGAGGUGAAAUCCCCGGGCUCAACCUGGGAACUGCCUCCAAAACUGCAUGACUAGAGUACGGUAGAGGGUAGUGGAAUUUCCUGUGUAGCGGUGAAAUGCGUAGAUAUAGGAAGGAACACCAGUGGCGAAGGCGACUACCUGGACUGAUACUGACACUGAGGUGCGAAAGCGUGGGGAGCAAACAGGAUUAGAUACCCGGGUAGUCC